rnacentral:rRNA from 1 species
CCUACGGGCGGCAGCAGUGGGGAAUAUUGCACAAUGGGGGGAACCCUGAUGCAGCGACGCCGCGUGGGUGAGGAAGUACUUCGGUAUGUAAAGCCCUAUCAGCAGGGAAGAAAAUGACGGUACCUGACUAAGAAGCCACGGCUAACUACGUGCCAGCAGCCGCGGUGAUACGUAGGGGGCCAGCGUUAUCCGGAUUUACUGGGGGUUAAGGGGGCGUAGACGGCGUGCCAAGUCUGGUGGUAAAGGUCGGGGCUCAACCCCGGGACUGCAGUGGAAACUGGCAUGCUGGAGUGCCGGAGGGGGAAGCGGAAUUCCGGGGGGAGGGGUGAAAUGGGUAGAUAAUAGGGGGGAAACCGGUGGGGGAGG